rnacentral:tRNA from 1 species
UCCCUUGUGGCUCAGCUGGUAGAGAAUCCGCCUGAAAUGUGGGAGACCUGGGUUCGAUCCCUGGGUUGGGAA